UCAUUAAAUGACUGAUUUAUAAGUAUUGAUUUUUUAAAUCAAUUUAUAAUAGAUUUAAUCUAUUUUUAAUGAA
rnacentral:tRNA from 1 species